GUUAAAGUUGUUGGGAUCCUAGCCGUUAGCAGAUAAGUCUUGCUGCUAGGGUUCCUAGUUGUUAGGGUUUCUAACCACGUAGGAGUCUAAUAAAGUCCUAGUCUUAAGGGACACGCUGAAUGUUUGUUUUCCAAGUAGUCGUUACCACGAUUGUAGGUCCUGUAAAAUCGUGGGCAGUUUCAUUUACCUUCUGAUAAGUUGUAAGGCUAUUUAAUGGCCGGUGUUGAUGCUUUCAAUAAUGAGAAUUCUCCCUGGUUGUUUAUGCAAGCUUUCGAACUUGGUUUUACUGUGAUUCUUUGCUAGGUUCUAGGUUCUAACAUCUGGUAUCAGAGCCCCACUACGGGGCCUGAUCGAAAGCUUGUAACCCAGGUGUUCGAGUGAAAAGAAACAAAACAUGGCGUCUGAAAACAGUUUCGUACAACCAGCCAUUCCAAGGUUUGACGGACACUAUGAUCAUUGGAGUAUGCUUAUGGAGAACUUUCUCCGUUCCAAAGAGUACUGGAACUUGGUGGAACUUGGGAUCACUGCUGCAGCAGGAGGAUCGGAUUCCAGUGAAGUACAGAAGAAGAUCGUAGAUGAACUAAAGUUGAAGGACUUGAAGGCCAAGAACUAUUUGUUCCAAGCCAUAGAUAGGUCAAUAUUGGAGACCAUUCUGAAGAAGGACACCGCAAAAGACAUAUGGGACUCCUUGAAACAGAAGUAUCAAGGAACUGCACGUGUGAAACGGGCUCAACUGCAGGCCCUUCGCAAGGAAUUCGAAGUGCUGCACAUGAAGAAUGGAGAAACAGUCAAUGACUAUUUCGGGAGAACACUUGCCAUAGCCAACAAGAUGAGAACCCACGGAGAGAAGAUGGAUGAUGUAGUGAUCAUCGAGAAAAUUUUGAGGUCCAUGACCUCGAAAUAUGACUAUGUCGUGUGCUCAGUUGAGGAAUCAAAUGACCUAGACACUAUGUCUAUAGAUGAACUCCAGAGUAGCCUUCUGGUGCAUGAACAAAGGAUAAGCCGCCAUGUGGAGGAAGAACAGGCGCUUCAAGUUACUCAUAGAGUCCAGCAAGAAGGACGUGGUCGUGGAACUUAUCGUGGCAGAGGAAGAGGACGAGGAAGGCUAGGGUUCGAUAAGUCAACCCUAGAGUGCUAUCACUGCCAUGACCUAGGGCAUUUUCAGUGGGAGUGCCCUAAGAAAUCUAAGGAGGAAAAGGCAAACUACGUAGAAACAAAGGAAGAAAUGCUGUUAAUGGCACUUGUGGAAUUCAAGGGGAUGGAGCACACAUGGUUUCUUGACUCAGGAUGCAGCAAUCACAUGUGUGGAAGGAUGGAUUUGUUCAGCGAGUUUGACAAUAGCUUCAAAGAAUCAGUGAAACUUGGAAAUGAUUCAAGCCUGACUGUGCAAGGCAAAGGAAGUGUACGAAUGGAGGUAGAUGGACGUAUACAUGUGAUCACAGGUGUGUUCUAUGUACCAGACUUAAAGAAUAAUUUGCUAAGUAUCGGUCAGCUGCAGGAGAAGGGGCUCACAGUUCUCAUUCAACAAGGAAGGUGCAAGAUCUUUCAUUUUGAAAAAGGUCUAAUCAUGGAGACUAAGAUGAGCACCAACAGAAUGUUUGCAGUGGUGGCUCGCAGUCCUGAAGAGCAGAAGUGUCUCUCCUCUCAAACAACUGAUCAAGCACAGCUGUGGCAUCAUCGCUAUGGGCACCUCAGUUGGCAUGGGCUCAAGGUGCUUCAGCAGAAGAAAAUGGUGAAGGGACUACCUCAGUUCGCAGCAUCUCAAAAGGUGUGUGAAGAUUGCUUGGUAGGCAGGCAACAGCGAGAUCCAUUUCCAAAAGAAAGCAUGUGGAGAGCCUCUGAGGCACUUCAAUUAGUACAUGCUGACAUAUGCGGACCCAUCAAUCCAAUCUCAAACAGCAACAAAAGGUAUCUUAUCACCUUCAUAGAUGAUUUCAGCAGGAAAAUAUGGGUCUACUUCUUGGCAGAGAAGUCAGAAGCAUUUGGCAUGUUCAAAGCUUACAAAGCACGGGUAGAAAAAGAAACUGGGGCAUUCAUCAGAAGUUUGAGGACAGAUCGAGGAGGCGAGUUCACCUCGCAUGAGUUUGCAAGCUUCUGUCGUGAGAAUGGGAUACAUAGGCAGUUAACUACGGCCUACACCCCUCAACAGAACGGAGUGGCGGAAAGAAAGAAUCGCACCAUUAUGAACAUGGUGCGGAGCAUGUUAUCUGCCAAACAAAUUCCAAAAAGCUUCUGGCCUGAAGCAACAAAUUGGGCUGUACAUGUGUUAAAUCGAUGUCCUACCCUUGCCGUGAAGAACAAGACACCUGAAGAAGCAUGGAAUGGACGCAAACCUUCUGUGGAUCACUUCAGAAUUUUUGGAUGCAUUGCUCAUGCUCAUGUACCUGAUCACAAGAGGGUGAAGCUCGAUGCCAAGAGCUGUAAAAGCAUUUUGCUUGGGGUAAGUGAAGAAUCUAAGGCUUAUCGACUAUAUGAACCCGUUUCUCAGAAAAUUGUUAUAAGCCGAGAUGUGGUGUUUGAAGAGGAUCAGCAAUGGAGUUGGGGUGACAACUACAAGGACGUGAUAGUGGCAGACCUAGAGUGGAAUGCUGAUGAGGAAAUUAGCAGCCCACGAGUGACGAGUGAUCCAGGGUUUGAUAGCAAUGACGUUGGAGACGAACCAGAAUCUGAGUCUGAGUACGAGGGCACGAUGGUUGGAGAAGGGAGUCAAAGUGAUGAAACCUCACCUCAUGAGGGACGAACUCGAAGACCACCAAUAUGGAUGAGGGAUUAUGAGACAGGUCAAGGAUUAUCUGAUGAAGAGAUUGAUGGAAUGGCUCAUUUGGCCUUAUUCAUUGAUCGAGAUCCCACAACCUACGAAGACGCGGUGAAGUCAGAGAAAUGACGACAUGCUAUGGAUCAGGAGAUACAAUCCAUUGAGAAGAACGAUACAUGGGAACUGGUAAAGUUGCCACCAGGAGGAAAAACUAUUGGGGUGAAGUGGGUGUUUAAGACAAAGCUCAAGGAGAAUGGAGAAGUGGAUAAGUACAAGGCUCGAUUGGUUGCUAAGGGUUACUGUCAACAAUAUGGGAUUGAUUACGCAGAGGUGUUCGCACCAGUGGCCCGUUUAGACACCAUUCGGGUAGUAAUCUCUCUUGCUGCACAAAAGAACUGGGGGAUCUAUCAACUCGAUGUUAAGUCCGCAUUUUUGCAUGGGGAGAUAGAAGAAGAAGUGUUCGUCGAUCAGCCACCUGGAUAUGAGCAGAAGGGGCAUGAAUCAAAGGUGUACCGACUCAAAAAGGCGUUGUAUGGACUUAAGCAGACCCCUCGAGCCUGGUAUAGUCGCAUAGAGUCAUAUUUCAUCGAAGAAGGCUUCAACAAAUGCCCUCACGAGUAUACCUUGUUCAUCAAGACAGCACGAGAAGGUAAGAUCUUGAUAGCAUGCCUUUAUGUUGAUGAUCUUAUUUUCACUGGUAAUGAUGAAACAAUGUUUGAGAAAUUUAAGAAGUCUAUGACUGCUGAGUUUGACAUGACUGAUCUCGGAAAAAUGAGAUACUUCCUUGGUAUCGAAGUUAUACAAAGAUCUGAUGGAAUUUUUAUCGGACAAAGGAAGUAUGCUCAAGAGGUCCUGGAGAAAUUUAACAUGGACCAGUGUAAUCCAGUACAAAAUCCAGUGGUGCCUGGUUUAAAACUCACAAGGAAUGGAGGAGUAGAAGUUGACAGCACUGUCUAUAGACAGAUGGUGGGAAAUCUCAUGUAUCUAACAGCUACGAGACCUGAUUUAAUGUUUGUUGUGAGCUUGAUCAUCCGAUACAUGGAGCGUCCAACUGAGGAACACUUACAGGUAGCAAAAAAGGUUCUUAGAUACGUUAAAGGGACGGUUGACCUGGGGAUAUUCUACAAGAAGGGAGGAACUGAAGAACUCACUGGAUACACCGAUAGCGACUACGCAGGUGAUCAAGAUGACAGGAAGAGCACCUCAGGUUAUGUGUUUAUGAUGAGUUCGGGAGCUGUCUCUUGGUCCUCAAAGAAACAGCCAGUUGUUACUCUAUCCACUACUGAGGCAGAGUUCAUAGCUGCUGCAUCGAGUGCAUGCCAAGUUGUUUGGUUAAGAAGAAUCAUGGAGAGUCUUAAUCAGGAGCAAUAUGGUCCAACCUUAGUGUAUUGUGAUAAUGUUUCGGCUAUCAAACUGUCAAAGAAUCUUGUACUGCACGGUCGAAGCAAGCAUAUUGAUAUAAGGUUUCAUUUCCUUCGUGACCUGGUCAAGGAUGGAGUGUUAGAGCUGGCACAGUGUUCAUCGCAAGAACAAGUUGCAGAUGUGUUAACUAAACCUCUGAAGGUUGACACUUUUCUAAAGAUGCGAGAACUGAUGGGUGUCUGCAAGUUUCCAGGGAUAAACUGAACAUCUGUAGUGUUCAGUUUAAGGGAGGAUGUUAAAGUUGUUGGGAUCCUAGCCGUUAGCAGAUAAGUCUUGCUGCUAGGGUUCCUAGUUGUUAGGGUUUCUAACCACGUAGGAGUCUAAUAAAGUCCUAGUCUUAAGGGACACGCUGAAUGUUUGUUUUCCAAGUAGUCGUUACCACGAUUGUAGGUCCUGUAAAAUCGUGGGCAGUUUCAUUUACCUUCUGAUAAGUUG
rnacentral:lncRNA from 1 species